rnacentral:lncRNA from 1 species
GGUGGACAAUUUAGAAAACUGAAGCAUCAAAGGUUCUUUUAUUGCAAACACUUCAAUUAUUUCAACCUAUCGGACAAAAAAAUAAUUCCCCCCCAAAGUAAAGGAGCUUAAAACUUAAAAUAAAAAUAAAAAUAAAAUAAUCAUAACUAACCAACCAUUUUGCUCAAUGAAUAAUAAAGGAAUGCAUUAUCUAUGUCACUAUACACAUAUACAUACUGU